GACGAACGCUGGCGGCGUGCUUAACACAUGCAAGUCGAACGGUAAGGCCCUUCGGGGUACACGAGUGGCGAGCGGGUGAGUAACACGUGGGUGAUCUGCCCUGCACUUCGGGAUAAGCCUGGGAAACUGGGUCUAAUACCGGAUAGGACCACUGCCUGCAUGGGUGGUGGUGGAAAGCUUUUGCGGUGUGGGAUGGGCCGGCGGCCUAUCAGCUUGUUGGUGGGGUGAUGGCCUACCAAGGCGACGACGGGUAGCCGGCCUGAGAGGGUGACCGGCCACACUGGGACUGAGAUACGGCCCAGACUCCUACGGGAGGCAGCAGUGGGGAAUAUUGCACAAUGGGCGCAAGCCUGAUGCAGCGACGCCGCGUGAGGGAUGACGGCCUUCGGGUUGUAAACCUCUUUCAGCACCGACGAAGCGCAAGUGACGGUAGGUGCAGAAGAAGGACCGGCCAACUACGUGCCAGCAGCCGCAGUAA
rnacentral:rRNA from 1 species